rnacentral:lncRNA from 1 species
UUCAUCAUCAAAUUCUCUCUCCUAAGGUUUGAUCAGCACACUAUCCUUCAUGAUAUCUUGUGAUUCAACCAUGGAAAAUGCAAAAUAAUGCAUAGGAAAGGUAGAUCAGAAGCUAGAAUUAAGAAAUUUCACCUUUGAUGGCUUGAUUCCUUGAAAUUUGGUGAAUUUCUCUUGAAUUUCUUAGCUAGGGUUUUGUUCUUCUUCUUUUCU